GGAGGGGUGGCAGAGCGGUAAUGCAGCGGAUUGCUAAUCCGUCAUGGGGUAAUACUCAUGCCCGGGUUCGAUUCCCGGUCCCUCCGCCA
rnacentral:tRNA from 2 species